UACGAAGGGAGCUAGCGUUGUUCGGAAUCACUGGGCGUAAAGCGCACGUAGGCGGACGUGUCAGUCAGGGGUGAAAUCCCGGAGCUCAACUUCGGAACUGCCUUUGAUACAGCACGUCUUGAGUCCGGAAGAGGUGGGUGGAAUUCCUAGUGUAGAGGUGAAAUUCGUAGAUAUUAGGAAGAACACCGGUGGCGAAGGCGGCCCACUGGUCCGGUACUGACGCUGAGGAGCGAAAGCAUGGGGAGCGAACAGG
rnacentral:rRNA from 1 species